AACGCACAUUGCGCCCCUUGGUAUUCCGGGGGGCACACCUGUUCGAGCGCCAUUUCAACCCUCAAGCAUAGCUUGGUGUUGGGUAUAUGGUCCUAGGGGAUCUACCCGUAACUCGUAGGUGGUCGCCGCCCACACCCCCAGCGUAGCAAGCUUUUCACGCGUUCGCUCGGGGAUGGUGUGGUGAUCCGGCAGCCCAAAAAAAAUAUUUUUCAAGGUUUGGCCUCGGAUCAGGUGGGGAUACCCGCUGAACUUAA
rnacentral:misc_RNA from 1 species